rnacentral:sRNA from 1 species
AAUAGCAUGAAAAUCCCACAAAAGCAACUUACUCUGAUUUUCUGCUGAACUAAGCGCAUCACCUCCUGAGUCUGUAAACACCUCUGAGUCAUUUCUGAUUAAUCUUUGAGGGUCAUUUGCUCAGCACAGGGAAAAUGAUGCAUGAAGUUAUUGAAUGCUUAGUGUUACAGAUGCUGUUCCCAUGGAGAUCAUUCCCAGCAACGGCACAGUCUCACCCAAGAAACGGACUCUGACUUGAGUCCUUAUCUUACUUUUGUUCAUGAGAAGAAUUUGAAUGGCAUGUGCCAACAGAUGUGGUUUGAAGCAGCCAGAAGACACACCAAACAAAUUCAACUUCUUCCAGGUCUACGACGAGCACUGGCCUUUUGCCUCAGGACUCUUGUGCUUUCCCCUCUGCCUGUGAGUGCCUCCUUUCCCUCAGACUGUCCAUCUUGACCUUGUUCAUUUACACUCAUUCUCCAGGCUUCAGAGAGUCACUCUACCCAUCUCCUAAAAACGACUUUGUGCCCUUUCUGUGGUAUUUAGGAGAUUUAAAUACUGUACAAACUCAUCACUCUCCCCAAUUCUUUGUUCAUGCUAUCCCUCCCCCUAGUAUCAUGUAGACUCAGAGGGAAGUUGGCCUGCCUUGCACACUCUGUAGUUCAGCACCCAGCACCAUAUGUACCACGUAACAGGCACUCAAAACAUGUUUAUUAAAUGAGUUCAUAAAGAGGACGAUGGAGUGUGUGCUCUGAGGGACUCAAGUCCAUGAGACUUCACAGGAAGAAUAUCAGACUGUGUCAGAAUGCUUUGCAAACAUGCCUCGCUUCCCUUUCAACUUGUAGAGCGAGCUCUGGGAAACUUUUUUUAUGCUAGCUUAAAAGUCUUAAAGUCUAUUUUCUCAAAGGCUUGCGGGAUUAAAAUCAAGCAUCUAGUGUCCUGAGAGAUCUCAGUAUUAAGUGACUUAUUUCUCCCUGUAGGAGAAAUUGCUGAUGGGGCUGUGAGAUAACCAGAACUUCAAGACUCAGCUAGGAUUUUGCACAUCCUUUGUUGGGGCAUUCUUCCAAUCUGCUUGCCACAAUGGAUACUGUUUAAGAGGAACUUAUCCUAGAGAAACUGAUAUAGAAGACUAUCAAGUCUAAGCAGAGACCCCCAUGCUUGCUUUUCCCUCUGCAAGGGGUUUGUGGUUCUGCAUAGAUGUACAAACUCCUAUGCAAAAAAAGACCUCUUUCAAGAAGGCUCCACCUAUGGUGAUCAAAGAAAUAAAGGCAAUUUAUGUUUCCAUUUUCAAGUCUUCUAAGUAACACAUAUGAAGUGUCGCAGGCUGGAAGGAAGCCAUGACCUCUCUCACCUCUUAAGUGUCUUCGGUGCCUCAAGAAACUCUUAGGGUUACUACAUUACUCCUAGAAUUUCUUCAGAAAGUGAAUGUUAUGUACACACAGAUGUUCUCACUUCUAGUACAAGCCUGGGUCUCUUUUCACACAGCUUGCCAAUAUGCUGGAUCUUUUCCACCAAAAUAACCCACACUGAAUAAAGCAAAAUUGUAGAUCCAGAGGCAGGACACUUCUGUCAGCACCCUGCACAGAAAAGUGUCCUUACCUAGUUCUGGAGUUGCGCUGUAAUACACAAAGGAACUGGAUAUUGGGUCUUCAGCAACCCACUCAUGUGUUGCGGAUGGAUGGAACCUGGGGCUCCAUACCACUAAAAUGAACUCUUGCAAGUAGGUCCAUACUAUUGGGGGAAAAAUCCUGCUGGAAGAUAAUGCAUCUGUACCCGUGAAACUGAGACUAUAUGCUGAUGAGAACUUGAGCUGCUCUGUCGGAACAUGGUCCAACAAUGGCGUUGUGGUAGGACAAUUCCGAGUGCUUGUGAGAAAACUCCAAGAAACCAAGACAAAAGUCUUGCCACCUGUUACUUCCAAAACAUGGAAUUGUUCUUGGAUUAUGCUUUCAUGGCCCUCUAAGCCCCAUCUACAGAGAUUUACCACCUGUGAUCAUCACAUAGAAAGAGAAUCCUUAAGACUCUUUGCUACUCAUGAUCUUGAGAAACAGGAAGAUUCUACUAAAAAUACCCUGAGGUGCUGGAGCACAAGCCUGGGAAACAUAAGAAAGUUUGGGUAUCAGCAAGGAGACACCAGUGUGUAAAGGCAUCACCACAUGAAUGGAGCUACAAGAGAUGGCAAAUUCCAGUACGUUUCAGGAAGGAGCUGAGUCAAUGUUUCAUGUGCAGUUACACAUACAGGCUGACUUUUCACAUCCAGAAAUGAUCUAAAUAUGCUUCGUGGGAUUCAAAAUCAGCAUCAGCUCCUCUUAGCAAAAAUCGCUUUCAUCUCUCCAAGAGCUGCUUCUGUGGAAUGUGUGGUCAUUCUUUGCUAGAAGGCAUUUGGGGAAGCCACAUCAGCCUAAAUUCUCAUGAGAAUUCCUCUUGCCUGUCAGAUACUUUAUCUUCAAAGAAUGGCACUUGACUGUUACGGGAUCCCUCCAUCCUCCAUGACAAAAUGAGAAAGUAUACAUUGGUGUUUCAACUGCUUCAGUUAUUGAGGUGACAUUUUGUACCAUGUGAUGGGAUAGGAAUGUCAUCAUGUUUCAUCUGUAUUUGUGAAAUAAAAUGUGCAACCCUCAUUUUCACUGAAAAGACAGCAGCCCAAAUUUCUGCCCUCUCACUCAAAGAGGGAAAACAUUCUGACUUAAAUUUCUUGAGGGGAUGGUGACUGAACAUUUUAAAGAUGGAUAUUGUUAUGGUUGUUGGAUGGAUUUGUUUAUAGUUUAGCAACAUUUGAUCUCUAUCUCCAGGAGAUGGUGGUAGCCAUUAACCAGAUAGUUUUCCUACUAGGUCAUUAUAAAACAGAUCAGAUUAGAGACUUGUACUCUAUACAUUAUUGGUCAAAUUCCUCUCAUUUCCAAACAUAGCCAAAACAUAAGAACAGCAAUUAUCAAGGUGUUCUAGGGAGACAAUUUUCCCAUAGGUACCUUAAACCAUCACUAGAACAAAGGGCAAAAAGUAAAGUUAAGCACCUAAGACUUAUUGCCACUAAGAACUUACUUUCCCUUCUGUUGAUGUACCAGGCAUUGCACUGAGUAUUUUACCCAUUCAUUUAUUUAGAUUUGGUUAUCUAUUCUGUGAGCAUGGGUAUUUUUGCUUACAUAUAUUUUGUGUACCACAUGCAUGCCUGGUGUUCACGGAAAGCAGAAAGGACAUGGAAUUUACUGAAACUGGAGUUAUAAGUGGUUGGAAGCCACCCAUGUAGGUACAAGGAACCAGGUCACCUAUUUAAGUGUGAGAGCAGUCAUGCUCAACUGCUGACCCAUCUCUCUAGCCACCCGUUCUUUCCCUUUAAACUGAUAACUCAGAACUAAGAAUUUCUGAGAGGCAAUUAAUUUCUGCAGAGGUAAACUUACAGGUCUCCAGCAUUUAAAAGCAGAUGAGUCCUGCAAUCUAAGAAGUGUUUAUUGAAAUGCCUUACAAAGAACAAUGGGGAAUGGCAUUUAACUAGCACAGACUACAGCAUAGGCUUUUUACAGAGAUAGUGUCUUGAUGUCUAGAGUCACUUAGAAAAUAGAUCUUCAUGUUCCACGGGUGAGAAACAGGAGGAUAAAGAGAUUAAAUCAACCAACACCACAAAUGAAAUCAAUAGCAAUGAUGAGAUUUAAACCCUUGAGCCUAACUCCAAACCCUAAUACAAUCUGCCUCAGAAGGCUGCCUAUCAGUUGUAUGAAACUGUGGACCCUGUACAAUGAAUGGCCUCUGUUUCUCAUGGCUCAUGUUCUGUGUUGUAUCUCAAUGUGUACAGACAUGACUAAUAUAAGACUGAAGACAGAACUACUUCAAAUGUGUUCUUAAAAUGUGUAUUUGAGUCCUUUGGGGAGCAAUACUUCUUUUAGUUUCUUCAAUUUGUAGAGGACCGUUGUCAUCUUAUUCCUGGCCCCUAUAGUUUAUUGUACCAGACUGCUAAGCCUGGAAAAAAGAACUGGGCAUGUGCAGAUCAUCCCAGGAGUCCUUUUCCCAUUGGAAGAUAUCGUGAUCAGGAAGAGCCUGUGUGUUUUAUGCUGCACCCCGAUUCUAUGGUUCUUAGCCACCACUGUCUCUGCACGUAACAGAAGUAUGAAUAGAAGUCCAAUUUUCAAGUUCAGAGUAUGAAUGCUCACUUGAUCGCAAGCAGCAUCCCCACAUUUUUAUAUCAGUUCUAUCAACAACAAAAGUGAUACUUCAACUUUAUUUCUGUCUGGCUUUCUCCUUUACCUUCUGUCUGUUGAUUUGAGUUAUAGAGAAAGGUACUAAUUAUUGAAUUCUUUCUAUCGCAGUAGCAACCAUAUGUGUCACAGAAGCCAGAGCAAAUGAAGUUCAAUGUUAAAAGAAAACUUGUUGCAAAUUGGGAGUUCUGAGUUAGAACUUGAAAAACGUGUUGCUAUCAGAAAGAGAUGCCUUCUUAUGCACUAUAUACCAUGAGUCAAAACCCUGUCCCCAGCAGGCCCCAAAUUACCCAUGAUAUGAGGAAUGGCUGAUGAGAACUGGAAUAAAACACAUCCCCAUCUAUUGAAGGUACGUCCAGGUGAAUGUCCACUCAUCGUCAGGGAGCCAGGUUCCUGUAGCAUCUAAAAAAGGGAGACAACGAGUAUUUGCUUUGGGAAACAGGACUGAUUUUCUCUUCUGCAGCAUAUCAGCUUCCUGAACUUACUGACCUGUAACCAUCUACACAUUUGUCCUUCCAUUCCCUCUAACACCUUUGUCAGCAGUUCCCUGUGACAAACUGUUUCUCUUAAAGUACCUAGAAAGCAAUUGUUUUCCUAAGACAGAACUGCCUUCAUAGAAUUCUAAGAAGAUGGAAUCAUUUUCAGUCAUAUCCUGGAAGUAAAUCUCUGGAAGGUGUCUGUCUGUCUUUG